AAUCAUUAAAAUAAAAGCAGUAAUCAAAGUGAUUUUUUUUUGUUAUCGAUUUGUAUGCGGUUCCUUUAACUCACCUGCAGUUAUCCUAAUUCGUAAAGUACAGUGCAUUCCGUUAGUUUAUAUGCCACACGACUGUUUUAAGCAGCUGUUUAAACUACUACGAAAAUUUACGAAAAUAAACGAAAAUUUUGAAAAUAAACAUAAAAAA